CCCUGGGGAGGAGGAAGGGAGGUUAUCAAUUGCUCCUACAGUGACAUCCAAAUUCCCAGCCCCUCCCCCAGAGCCCAAGAUCUGCAAAAAACGCCCCAGGUCAAACCCUGGGAUGAGGCAUCCUCUACAAAAACACACUGUGUGUGUAAUCCUCCAAUGACUCUUGGCCAAUCCUGGGUGGAAAGGGCACCAAAGGAAGGUCCAGAUCCAGGAUCUGUUUCCUGUCCAGCUCCUAUCCCUAAGUCAGGGUGGGGCCCAGCUCAGAUGCUGGAUGAACAUUUGGGAGUCUCAAUUGUUGGGGAAAGGGUAGGUGUAGGUUUCCAGGUCCUGUCACAGAGCUGGACAUUGGGCUGUUAGCACCCAUCCAGUGGAGCAAAAUGGAGAUCAGGUAAACAGGAGGGGUGGACUGCACCUAGGGAUGAGAUGGGAGCAUCUGAAGGGGCCUGCCUCAGUUCUGGUUCAGUCCCCACACUUCAGGCUACAGGCUCCAUGCGUAGGCUCUAUGUCCUUCUUACCCCUGGUGUCACAAGAACCCGGACACCCCUUAUCACCCCACUCAGUCUCAUGUACCAGUGUGUGCACAGUGGAUAGGGCUGGACCUUAUCUUCGAGAUGAUGUCAUCUCACUCCGUUCCCCACCCGGGACUCCGCCCAGGUCCCUCCCCUCCUGGCCAGGGUUGACAGGCGAAGUGGAGAGGGUCAGUCCCCAUAGACAGAAGCGAGAAGGUCGUCCUGCAGCAGCUGCACCAAGAUUGUCCAAGGUCCCUGACCCAUGUUUGCCUGGGUCUCUAUCAGAGGGCAAGGUAGAGCUCCCUGCCCCGUAUCCGUGGGGUAUCAGGCUUGCCCAUACCUAACGACAGGCUCCGCCGUCCCAGACCGAGGAGGCAAGCCAGGAUGCGGAGCGCAUCAGGCCGCUCCUAGAAUGCUGGCCAGCAGCGGCGGGCGGAAGGACAGGACACCUGUGCAAGCUACCCAGGGCAGCUUAAGCAACUCCAGUUAGAACUGAGCAAGCUGACAUCCUGAGAAGUGUGAUGACAUGGUCUGAUCAUCCAGGAAAUGGUGGGAUGGGGUGUCAGGUGACAGACACUCUUCCUGGCAGCUGUUCCUCCCACGCUGCAGGUGAGGCCCAUUUUCUCCUGAACUGAGGCUUUGUAUCCCAUGAGCAACCAGAGAGCAGUCCAAUUCCACAAGUCUUCUUCUUGCAGCCGCCUCUUCAAAAAGGGGUAGGGAUAGGAUGGGAUGAGGUCCCCAACGCUCCCCUGACUAACUGUGCUGCUUCAGUCAUUGCCUGGACUCGUGCAUCCCCUUCUUUAACACCUCUCUCACCCUUGGGUUCUCCUGCUCCAGACCCCAUGAAAACAUCAUAAAAACACUACCUGAAAAGACCAACCUGUUUUCAAGUGACUUAACUAAAUUCCAGAACAAAGCUCAAACAAGAUGUAUAGGAAUGCAAAAAAUAUUCAGUUCUAAGAAGUAAAUUCAUCAUAUCUGGCAUCCAUUAAAAAUAUCCAGAGGUGUGCUGGG